rnacentral:rRNA from 1 species
AGUGAACGCUGGCGGUAGGCCUAACACAUGCAAGUCGAACGGCAGCACAGUAAGAGCUUGCUCUUACGGGUGGCGAGUGGCGGACGGGUGAGGAAUACAUCGGAAUCUACUUUUUCGUGGGGGAUAACGUAGGGAAACUUACGCUAAUACCGCAUACGACCUACGGGUGAAAGCAAGGGAUCUUCGGACCUUGCGCGAUUGAAUGAGCCGAUGUCGGAUUAGCUAGUUGGCGGGGUAAAGGCCCACCAAGGCGACGAUCCGUAGCUGGUCUGAGAGGAUGAUCAGCCACACUGGAACUGAGACACGGUCCAGACUCCUACGGGAGGCAGCAGUGGGGAAUAUUGGACAAUGGGCGCAAGCCUGAUCCAGCCAUACCGCGUGGGUGAAGAAGGCCUUCGGGUUGUAAAGCCCUUUUGUUGGGAAAGAAAAGCAGCAGGUUAAUACCCCGCUGUUCUGACGGUACCCAAAGAAUAAGCACCGGCUAACUUCGCG